rnacentral:rRNA from 1 species
CUACGGGCCGCUCCAGUGAGGAAUAUUGCACAAUGGGGGGAACCCUGAUGCAGCAACGCCGCGUGGAGGAUGACGCAUUUCGGUGUGUAAACUCCUUUUAUAUGUCAAGAAAAUGACGGUAGCAUAUGAAUAAGCACCGGCUAACUCCGUGCCAGCAGCCGCGGUAAUACGGAGGGUGCAAGCGUUACUCGGAAUCACUGGGCGGAAAGGACGCGUAGGCGGGUUGGAAAGUCAGGUGUGAAAUACUACAGCUUAACUGUAGAACUGCACUUGAAACUUCUAAUCUAGAGUAUGGGAGGGGGAGAUGGAAUUAGUGGUGUAGGGGUAAAAUCCGUAGAUAUCACUAGGAAUACCUAAAGCGAAGGCGAUCUCCUGGAACAUUACUGACGCUAAGGCGUGAAAGCGUGGGGAGCAAACAGGAUUAGAUACCCUUGUAGUC